CUAAAUUCUGUUGCUUUAUUUAUUUGGUUAUUUCAUAAGUAACUUUUAAACGGAUUUAAAGUUCUACGUGCGUAUACGUACGUACGAAAAACGCAACAGUGGAAAUCAGCCUUAAUUAAGGUUUGCAAAGGACAACCUUUAUUGAAUUAGCUGUACACAGGGUGUAUAAAAACAAACGAGAUCUUUAGAAAUCAAGCUAUUGUUGGAAUUUGAAUGCAUAGCAGUAUACGUGCGUCAGAAACAGAAUCGGAAGUGAAUUUUAUGCAUGACGAAGUUAUCUCAAAAACUUUAACUUUGGUUUCUUCUAACAUAUAUGAAUUAUGUUGAAUUUUUCUGUGUUGGUGUUAUGUACUCAGGUGAAUAUAUGAUGUUUGUGAUGUUACUCUGAGUGUAUAUCCACACCGGGCAAGCUUGAAAAAUAUGCCUGACCACGGUGGGAAUCGAACCUACGACCUUAGGAAUACUAGCCCAAUGCUCUGCCAAUUAAGUGAGCUACGCGGUCUGGUUGGUUCGAGUAUGUGAUAUUUCGGAACUGAAUCUAGUUCCUUCGACAUCAAUGCAAUCUACACAGAAAAUUCAUGAUUUUCUGUGUAGAUUGCAUUGAUGUCGAAGGAAAAUUCAUGAUUAUUAUAGAUUGCAUUGAUGUCCAAGGAACUAGAUUCAGUUCCGAAAUAUCACAUACUCAGUCGAACCGACCUGACCGCGUAGCUCACUUGGCAGAGCAUUGGGCUAGUAUUCCAAAGGUCGUAGGUUCGAUUCCCACCGUGGUCAGGCAUAUUUUUCAAGCUUGCCCUGGGUUUAGUUGAUGUUUGGAGGGACGUUUGGAGGGACAAGAAGUUAUAGUGAGCGAGCUAAAUAUAUAUUAAUAAAAGAU